rnacentral:tRNA from 1 species
GGUAGGAUACUCAAGUGGCCAACGAGGAGAGACUGUAAAUCUCUUGGGCUCUGCCCUUCCCUGGUUCGAAUCCAGGUCCUACCACCA